GGCGCAGGCGGGUCAAUAAGUCAGAGGUGAAAUCCUACAGCUUAACUGUAGAACUGCCUUUGAUACUGUUGAUCUUGAGUAUGGAAGAGAGAGACGGAAUUCCAGGUGUAGUGGUGAAAUACGUAGAUAUCUGGAAGAACACCAGUUGCGAAGGCGGUCUCUUGGUCCAAUACUGACGCUGAGGCGCGAAAGCGUGGGUAGCAAACA
rnacentral:rRNA from 1 species